CCUACGGGUGGCAGCAGUGAGGAAUAUUGGUCAAUGGGCUUACGCCUGAACCAGCGAAGUCGCGUGAGGGAAGACUGCCCUAUGGGUUGUAAACCUCUUUUGUCAGGGAGCAACGCCGGCUACGUGUAGCCGGACGGAGAGGACCUGAAGAAAAAGCAGGGGCGAACUCCGUGCCAGCAGCCGCGGUAAUACGGAGGAUGCGAGCGUUAUCCGGAUUUAUUGGGUUGAAAGGGGGCGUAGGCGGAAUGCCAAGUCAGCGGUAAAAUCGGGGGGCUCAACCUCGCUCCGCCCUUGAAACGGGCGUUCUUGAGUGUGCGAGAAGUAUGCGGAAUGCGUGGUGUAGCGGU
rnacentral:rRNA from 1 species